UCUGGUAUAGUGGUUGCGAGAUAUCUCGCCAGCCAGGGAGCGGACUUUCACCAUAAAAACAACAAAAUAACACACCAUUGGACCUCAUUAAGGACCCAAAUUUGAGAAAAAAAUUAGAAGCAUUUUUACCACCACAAUGUUUGUUGUGCAGAAAUAAAGAGGCCACAACAAAAGUUCAUCCCUGUGAACACCUUCUGACAUGUGAAGAAUGUUCAAACGUUCCACUUAAACGAUGCCUGAGGUGUUUGAAACCUGUAACAAGCAGAGGUCGAGUUGAGAGUCCAAAGUUUGAAGAGAAGGGAGUGCAGACUGUGGCAGAGACAGUUGUUGAGUUUAAAAUUAGAGAUCUUUAUUAAUUUCUAUAGAUUUUACAUUCACCUCAGCUAUUUUGCUUAUUAGAAUGGUGGAGAACAGAUCCCAUUUCUAAUUUCCAUUUGAAAGGUUAGCUCUAAAGUAAUUGUAUUAAAAAUAUUACUGAAAUUUCAUAAAGUCAUGGUUAACAUGUUUGGUAAAAUGGAUAAAUUAAAAGCCACAAUAGAGUUAAUAUUGUCUUCUGGAAGAGGGAACUAUAAUUUAUUUUUUUUUUUAGGUGUAAACUUGUGAGUUAAUAAGAUAGUUGUUUGUUUUUCUACUAAGAUCUUUCGUAAGUUUUCUGAUAGGUUAUUCUUGAUGUUGUUAUGUAGCCAGAUGUCUGUCGUAAUAUGUUGUAUUUUCUGGGGUUGUGUACCCUGAAUUUCUCUGGUUAGAAUACAUUUUGUAGUUGCAAAUUAGAAAAUUAUAAUUAAAUAUUAACUCUGAAUAAGAAUAUUCAUCAUGAAUUUAAUUUUAAUUUUAUUAAAUGUUGAAUUAAAUAUUGAACCGUGAACACCUGUUUACAUUUAAACAAAAUAUUGGUGUUGACAUAAAAUAUAAAGAUAGGAAUAAAACAUGAGUUCCCUGUGUGACUUGAACACACAAAUCCUUAUUUGUAACUAUAUAUAAUAAACAUUUAACACAUUGUUUGAACAACAUUUACCAUCCAUAAAACCAUUCUUUUCUCACAUUUAUUAGAAUUUAGAUGAUAUUAAUGCUAAAAGAGGCACAGUUUUCUGAGUGUUUGUUGCAUUCAAAUUUGACUACUCCCACAUCUGUUGUCCUUUGUCAGGUUUAACUCUUGUUCCCUUCUACUUGGAUCUCCUGGCACUUCUUUAUCUAACUUUUAUCUUCCAUACUCCUCCCAUAUCUCUACAUCUCUUCUCUUGUACACUAAAUCGUCUAAACUCUAGUUUUGCUUCCAGCUCAUCUCUGCUCCGGGGCUUCAGCACAUUAAUAUUACACUUCUUCUGAAGUAUGCUCACUUCAUUUCUUAACAGUUUUCAUACAUCCUCUAUACUCUGUGAAACAUUCCAAUUUACAAAUACACAUCAGGGUCCACCAAGGAUCAGUCCUCAGCCCGCUCUUAUUCAUUAUAGUCCUCCAGGCAAUAACAGGGAAAUUCCAAGACAGGUUGCCCCUGGGAGCUCCUCUGUUCUGAUGACAUUGGUCUAAUAGUCGAGUCGAUGCCAGAACUGGAGACAAAGUUGAAAAUUACAACCCCUUUCAGGUAGAUGGCCCUGCUCUAUCUGUAGAAAUGGAGAGGGUAGAAACUCCACACGAUGUACCCGGUGUAAGCUAUGGACGCAUAAUGAGUGCAGCAAUAUGAAAGGAAGGUUAACCAUGAAAAUAGAUUUUGUAAGUGGCAGGUGCUCUGGGGCAAUAAACACUGUAGAUGUACAGAAAACAGAUUCCAUCACAUGUCAGGGGAAGAAAUUAAUAGUUAAUAGCUUCUGCUACCUAGGUAACCAAGUCUGGGGGUGGUUGCUCUGAGCGUGUAGCGACUAGAGUAAGAAUAGCUGGGUAAAGUUCAGAGAGAUGCCGCCUCUGCUGGCAACUAAAGUCCUUCUUUAAGGUGAUAAGUUGUGAACUGAGUAGGUUUCGGCUACUAAUUCUAGCAGAUCUCUCUACUACAUGGAAAUCCCUUUCUUAGUUUGUCUCCCUUGUUAGAGAUUAACUGCGAAAAUAACGAUACACUCUGAAAUUUCAUUUGUUGAUGUUGUUGUUGUAAGUCCCAUCAUCUCCCUAGACACUUCCUCUGCUGUAUAGACAAAAUUAAAAUCAUGUGAAAUUCUUCCAAAAAUGAAAUGCGUAAUUCCAUUUUGUAAAGCUUGCUUAAAAACGUAUUUUGCUUUCAAGUAGAACCAUCUUGUAGACACAAUUGUCAAUAAAUAUAUUGUUUCCAUUUCUCGCAGCCAAUAUUUUUACAUUAGGAGUAUUCCGUAUGAAUUCAAACAAAAUUUAAAAGGAAGAGACUUUUCGCUUGACCAACUCAGAUUUGGCUCAGAUGGGUUUUGGUAACACCUCUAUAUGCAUAAGGAACACAUGUAUAAUUUUAGUGUUCAACCAUUAAGGGUUUCAAUGAUAUGCCCUGCCGAACUUUGAGGGCCACACCCCUCGUGGAGCACGAAUGUCAAUUUAUACGAUUUUGGUGCUGAACGCUUUUAAAACUAUUCAUAUUUGUCUGAAAUUGGCUACAGCGUGUAAUCUGCAAUCAGAUCGGCCAGAAUCUGCUAUCAGAAUUCCUCUAUUAUCUUCCUCCAUAUUCACGUUAUUGGCCUUUCAAAUAAGAACAUUUUCAUGGGCGGAAUUUUUUUUAAAAAUCAAUAUUCAAGGGACCCCCAUUGGGCCAUGAUGUAAUACAAGAAAACGUGUGGUGCGUUUUUUCGCUUUCAGGAUUGAUCUGUCCAUGGUAAGCAUACUGAUAAUGCUCAAGGCAUAAUAUAACAUUUAGAGGCUCCUGAAAAUGGCUCAGGGUGAAAAAAUAACAUUGGUUGGUGAAAUAUGAAAGUGAGAGGAAAAUGCCGUGUCUUAGAUUUGGCCCAAAUGUAAGAAAGGAAAAACAGAAGAGAAAAGCAGGGUUGUCAAGUGAUAAUUAAAUGUGAUAAUUACCACAUUGUUAGAUCAUGUAGAGCAUCUUAAUAGAAAGAGGAGAUUUAGGAAGGUUGGUCCAUUUUGUUGCGGACAUAAUAUUGAGCUAUUACAUAGGAAAUCUGUAGAAAAUAUGAAAAUGUUAACCGAAGCCAUAGUGGUUUCUCAUUGCGCAUUGUAGAAAGGAUUAUCAAUACAAAUAAAGAAAUUUUACAAGACUCGAGUGCCACAAAAGCAGCCCCUUGAGAAAGUGGCACAAAACUUAGUUAAUGACCACAAAAAUUAUUGAUGGAAGCAAUAGACUUCUUUUAUAUAUGCGAAAAGAUUAAGCAUGUGAUGAGGUGUUGCUAUAACAAUUUCAAAAUGUGCUUCAUGAAAGAAAACUUCACAACAGACUGGCACCUUCUUGAGAUUGGAAUUGCUGUAGUUUGUACAGCAUUUGUUUUCUGCUUAUGAUGGAGAUUUUAUGAUCAGCAGGUUGAUCAUAAGAAACGGCUCAAGUGGAUUCAUCUAAAGAGACUCCAUGGAUGACAUCACAAUACUAACAAGAGACCCAAAGAUAUGCAAAUAGUUCUGGAUCAACUAAUUACUUGGUGAAUAAUGAAGGUUAAAGUAAAUACGUAAUGCAGUCUGUCAUUUGUCAUAUUUAAGCAGAAGCAAGUAAAUUUCAAAAUAACAGGAGAAACGAGACCAAAUGUUAAAGACAAGCCUAUAUAAAGAUUAGGACGAUGGUGUGCUAGCUUGCUGUCUGGUAGGAAACGAGGAAUUGAUACAUACCUUGUCACAGAUGUAAGAAUUAUAAGCAGUAGAUACACCAAAGUGUCUGGACAAAUAUCAGAUUUGUCGCUUCCAGUUUGAUCUGUAUCUCCGUCUCGCUUAAAUAUUCUUGAGAAUCACAUUUUACAUACCAUUUAAGAUAUAUUCCUUAGAGUAACAUGUUGCUCACCAGUUGCAUGUAGUUAAUGAUAUUUGAUACAAAUGUAUAGUGUUUUAAGACACCUGUUAUUAUUAUUUAGCUGUUCGACCUGUGUAGAACUAAUCCUCGCUCACCUGGAAAGAUAUCUGCUUCAUUAAGGAAUAUGAAUGACUUUCAGAUGUCUUCAAAUAUUUCCUGAAUCAGCUGACAUUCUGGUUAACUGAGAUGCAAGAAGUUGAAAUUCAAGAUUAACAGCAUCAAUGUUUGAGAAAGAGAAUAGGGAUGAUGUGGGAGAAGGAGACCCAGGAAGGCAUUGGACGAAAUGUUGAAGGCCGAUCUCAAAACACUGAGCCUUACGAAACAAAUGACAGAGAUGAAAUAUGGAGCGCAUUACUGUACUCGAAAAGACGUGCCCACCCUAACUGAAUUGAGAUCCUAAAAUUAAGGUACCACAUAAAAAGGAUUAGAAUGGGUGCUGAACGGGUGCUGGUAAAAAUGCACUAGUGCUGGUGAAACGAAAAAAGGAUGCAGCAUAUUGUGUAAAGUGGUUGGUGUAAGGAAGGGUCUCCAGCCAUAGAAACCAACAGAAAAGAGACUAUAGAACCUGGUGCAGCACUUGGCCUGGCUAGUUCCUGGCCAUUCAACCCAUGCCAGAAUAGAUAAUGGAUGAUGGUAGGAAUACUACUGAAAUUUCGGAAAAUAAUCACCAAGUUUGGCAUAGUUGGGAAUAUGGAUAAAUUACCAUUUCAGCUAUUUUCCCUGUAAUAAUGUGUGAAUGACAAUUGAUAUGUAUUUAAUGAGGGUUUGUGAAAAUAUAAAGUAUUUUAGGACACCUGUAAUAAUUUUCCGUUCCAUUUCAUCUGUUGAGAAUUAUGUCUUUAAGGGGAAUGAGCGACAUUGAAAUGUCUUCAAACGUUUCCUGAAUCAGACGACACUCUGGUGAACUGUAGAUAAGGGCGGUUUUAUGAACAAGUACCAACAGCAACAGUUAAG